rnacentral:rRNA from 1 species
AACUUUUAACAACGGAUCUCUUGGUUCUGGCAUCGAUGAAGAACGCAGCGAAAUGCGAUAAGUAAUGUGAAUUGCAGAAUUCAGCGAAUCAUCGAAUCUUUGAACGCACAUUGCGCCCGCCAGCAUUCUGGCGGGCAUGCCUGUUCGAGCGUCAUUUCA